GUGGGGAAUAUUGGGCAAUGGAGGCAACUCUGACCCAGCAACGCCGCGUGAAUGAUGAAGGUCUUCGGAUUGUAAAGUUCUGUGAUGGGGGACGAAGAAAGUGACGGUACCCCAAUAGCAAGCUACGGCUAACUACGUGCCAGCAGCCGCGGUAAUACGUAGGUAGCAAGCGUUGUCCGGAAUGACUGGGCGUAAAGGGUGCGUAGGUGGUUUAACAAGUUGGUAGUGAAAUUCCGAAGCUUAACUUCGGCGCUACUGCCAAGACUGUUGAACUUGAGUACAGGAGAGGUAAGUGGAAUUCCUAGUGUAGCGGUGGAAUGCGUAGAUAUUAGGAGGAACACCAGUGGCGAAGGCGACUUACUGGCCUGCAACUGACACUGAGGCACGAAAGCGUGGGGAGCAAACAGGAUUAGAUACCCUAGUAGUCC
rnacentral:rRNA from 1 species